rnacentral:rRNA from 1 species
AUGCAAGUCGAACGGCAGCACAGAAGAGCUUGCUCUUUGGGUGGCGAGUGGCGGACGGGUGAGUAAUGUCUGGGAAACUGCCCGAUGGAGGGGGAUAACUACUGGAAACGGUAGCUAAUACCGCAUAACGUCGCAAGACCAAAGUGGGGGACCUUCGGGCCUCACACCAUCGGAUGUGCCCAGAUGGGAUUAGCUAGUAGGUGGGGUAAUGGCUCACCUAGGCGACGAUCCCUAGCUGGUCUGAGGGGAUGACCAGCCACACUGGAACUGAGACACGGUCCAGACUCCUACGGGAGGCAGCAGUGGGGAAUAUUGCACAAUGGGCGCAAGCCUGAUGCAGCCAUGCCGCGUGUAUGAAGAAGGCCUUCGGGUUGUAAAGUACUUUCAGCGGGGAGGAAGGCGGUGAGGUUAAUAAC